GACGAACGCUGGCGGCGUGCUUAACACAUGCAAGUCGAAUGAUGAACCACUUCGGUGGGGAUUAGUGGCGAACGGGUGAGUAACACGUGGGCAAUCUGCCCUGCACUCUGGGACAAGCCCUGGAAACGGGGUCUAAUACCGGAUACUGACCACUGGGGGCAUCCUCGGUGGUCGAAAGCUCCGGCGGUGCAGGAUGAGCCCGCGGCCUAUCAGCUUGUUGGUGAGGUAGUGGCUCACCAAGGCGACGACGGGUAGCCGGCCUGAGAGGGCGACCGGCAACACUGGGACUGGGACACGGCCCAGACUCCUACGGGAGGCAGCAGUGGGGAAUAUUGCACAAUGGGCGAAAGCCUGAUGCAGCGACGCCGCGUGAGGGAUGACGGCCUUCGGGUUGUAAACCUCUUUCAGCAGGGAAGAAGCGAAAGUGACGGUACCUGCAGAAGAAGCGCCGGCUAACUACGUGCCAGCCGCCGCCGUAAAAC
rnacentral:rRNA from 1 species